UGAUUUAAAACACCGAUUCCCUUGCGCUCACCGAAGUUAAGCAACGCCGAGCCUGGUUAUUUCCUAGAUGGGCGACCGGUUGCGAAUACCACAUGCUGUAGG